ensembl:lncRNA
ACACCUAAAUACUCAACAAGCCUUAUUGUAAUAGACAAAUAAUAAUCUAACCUUAAUUAAUCAUCAAAUAGAAAUGGGAGUUCCUCCUUCACAACCAGAAUAAAAUGUACAGUCUUAAAUCACAACCAGAAUAAAACGUAUAGUCUUGACAAUCUGUCAAACAAAACUGCCACUCAACACAUACAGUAACCUAACCUUAACCCAGUACAGGGGGAGGGGUACUAUCCUAACCCAGUACAGGGGGCAGGGUACUAUCCUAACCCAGUACAGGGGGCAGGGUACUAUCCUAACCCAGUACAGGGGGGAGGGUACUAUCCUAACCCAGUACAGGGGAGGGCGCAAUCCUGCACAAUAAAAAACAUUUUGGAAGGAAGAUAAAAAUAAGACUGAACAAAUUUGAUUAUGAGGUUCAAUGUUUUACAUGACAAUGCAUGUUAAAACAUUGCAGAUGAACCAUGCUGGUGCCUUUCCCUACUGGACUAACUGGAACUUCCUGUACCCUGUCAUGUGACUAUGGAAUUUCCUGUAUCUGUGGUACACGUGUGUGUGUGUGUGUGCGCGUGCCUGCGUGCGCUAUUGGACCAUGGCAUUAUCCCAAGGCAUUAGUGUUAGCUAGGUUUACGUGUAGGUUUAGUUUUAGUGCUAGGUUUAAGCUUAGGUUAAGUGCUAGGUUUUAGGGUUAGGUUUAGGCGUAGGGUUGCUCUGUACAGAUGGCUUUAGUGAAAUAGCACCGUCUUCUGUGUAAAAAUACUGUUCUGAACCUUUUACUCUGCCUUAGAGCAUCACAGAUAGGUAUAAAAUCCAUACAAACCAGUAGCUAGGGAUAUUAGAAAACAUAUACUGGAAACUUUCCUGUCAACAUUGCUUAAAAUUCAUAUAAAACAUGUAUACUAGUGAGGUUCAUUCGAGGUCUUCCUGACAGAAUAAACUAAUUUAGGCCAAAGAUUUACACACAUAGUAAUGUAGCAGACUAACAAGGUAAUUUGGUAGACAAACAGGGUAAUGUAGUAUACUAACAUGAUAAUGCAGUAGACUAACAUGGUAAUGUAGUAAACAAAUAGGUUAGACAACAGGGUAAUGUAUUAGACUAACAUGGUAGUGUAGUAGACUAACAUGAUAGAUAAACAAUCAAUGUAGUAGACUAACAGGGCAGAUAACAUGGCAAUGUAGUAGACUAACAGGGCAGAUAACAUGGCAAUGUAGUAGACUAACAGGAUAAUGUAUUAAACUAACAGGGUAGACUAACAGGGUAGUGUAGUAGACUAAUAGGGUAGACUAACAUGGUAAUGUAGUAGAAUAACAGGGUAGAUGGGUAGACUAACAUAGUAACGUAGUAGACUAACAGGGUAAUGUAAUAGACUGACAGGGUAGACUAACAUGGAAAUGUAGUAGACUAACAGGGUAAUUAUUAUACUGACAAGGUAGACUAACAGGGUAAUGUAAUAGACGAACAUGGUAAUGUAGUAGACUAACACGGCAAUGUAGUAGACUGACACGGUAAUGUAGUAGACUAACAGGGUAAUGUAGUAGACUAACACGGUAAUGUAGUAGACUAACAUGGUAAUGUAGUAGACUAACAGUGUAAUGUAGUAGACUAACAUUGUAAUGUAGUAGACUA